rnacentral:rRNA from 1 species
UACAGAGGUCCCAAGCGUUGUUCGGAUUCACUGGGCGUAAAGGGUGCGUAGGCGGUCGGGUAAGUCUGACGUGAAAUCUUCAAGCUCAACUUGGAAACUGCGUCGGAUACUAUUCGGCUAGAGGAAUGGAGGGGAGACUGGAAUACUUGGUGUAGCAGUGAAAUGCGUAGAUAUCAAGUGGAACACCAGUGGCGAAGGCGAGUCUCUGGACAUUUCCUGACGCUGAGACGCGAAAGCGUGGGGAGCGAACAGG